GUAGAGACGGCGCAGGGGCACGGGCCAGGACCCGGGCUCCGCGGGCCUGGGACAUGUGUCCUCUUCUCCCUCCCAG
rnacentral:pre_miRNA from 1 species